rnacentral:rRNA from 1 species
GUAUCCUAACCGUGCGAAGGUAGCGUAAUCAUUUGUCCUUUAAAUGAGGACUGGUAUGAACGGCUUCACGAGGGCUGCACUGUCUCCUUUUUCUAAUCAGUUAAACUAAUCUCCCCGUGAAGAAGCGGGGAUUCACCUAUAAGACGAGAAGACCCUAUGGAGCUUUAAACAAUUGUUAACAUUUGCAUUUAAAAACUUUUCUACUACAUAAAGUCCAAGCACUAUGUUUCUAGUUUUAGGUUGGGGUGACCAUGGAGAAAAACCCAUCCUCCAUGUUGAAAGAAAUUUUAUUUCUUAGCAAAAAGUUACAUCUUAAUGCAUCAACAAAUUGACCCUAAUUGACCCAAUAAUUUGAUCAACGAACCAAGUUACCCUAGGGAUAACAGCGCAAUCCACUUCAAGAGCUCUUAUCGACAAGUGGGUUUACGACCUCGAUGUUGGAUCAGGGUAUCCAAGUGGUGCAGCCGCUA